AGAUGAGCUAAGUCGUGAUUUUUCAAUCACAGGUAUACCUGUGACUGUGAUUUUUAAUUCACGGUGAUUCUAACCUGUGAUUUUUAACCGUGAUUUCAAUUUUUUUUUAUGAAAAUCCCAAAAAAAAAAAAAAAAAAAAAAACGUAGCAUUUUUAACGUUUGUAUUUUCGUACGAUACUUACGUAGGAAUUACUAUUGAAGCUCAAAUACGAGUAUAUUUGAAACAAUGGAGCUGAUUUUACAAGGAAAACUGGUUUAAGCAAACAGAUCCGCGAUUUACCAAAGCCAUUAGUGAUUAUACUGGGGAAAACAUUAUUUUGUCUAGGCGACUCUUGAUUUUACGGAAGAAAUUUAUUAUUUCACGGGAAAAGUAACUUUUAAACCCCUUAUUCUAAUCAGGGCAACCUGCGAGUCUUCACAGCAAAUAUUCGGGUGCAAACCGUGAUUCUUCUGGAGCCAUACGUUAUUGUAAGGGGUUAACAAAACAAUUAUUUUACCGAACGUGCGUGAAUUUCGGUAAAAACAAUUCACGUUGCAAAAAAUUGUUUUAUCCAAAAUCACAGGUUAAAAGUAAUUUUCAAUGCAUCUGCGUGAAUUCCGGCUUAAUUAAUUCACUUUUACACUGUUGCAAAUAGUUGUUUUGGCCAAAAAAAAAGUCAUUUUCAAUGCAUUUUCGAACUCUGCUUAAAAUAAUUCACCUAUACACUUGACCUGUUGCAAAAGUUGUUUUGGGAAAAAUCACAGGUUUGAAAUAAUUUCAAAGCAUUUGUGAAGUGAAUUCCUGUCAAACCAAUUCACGUUUACAAAAGAACUAUUGCAAAAGUUGUUUUGGGAAAAAUCACAGGUUAAAAAUAAUUCCAAAGCAUUUGUGAAGUGAAUUCCUGUCAAACCAAUUCACGUUUACAAAAGAACUAUUGCAAAAGUUGUUUUGGGAAAAAUCACAGGUUAAAAAUAAUUCCAAAGCAUUUGUGAAGUGAAUUCACGUUUACACAAGAACAAGAA